rfam:Gossypium hirsutum cultivar TM-1 chromosome 5, whole genome shotgun sequence
UGUUAAUAUUUUCAUCCAUUUUUACUGUUAAAAACUGGCAUGACUGAAAGAAUAACCAAACAGUAACACGCAAUGUGCCACAUGUACCUCAUGCUAACGUACAAGGGCCAGUUUAUAACAGUAGAAAUGGAUGAAAUUUUUAAUA